CUACAACCUAGCUGUGUCCACAGCCCCCAGCUUGAUGUUUCCGCCCCCGGAUGCCAGGGCAGGAUUUGAUAUGCAACUCAUGAGAAAGGUUGCCCUGGUGCAGUUUUUGAUUGAAAACACUCCCAGAAUCUUUGCCAAAGACUUCACUCUUGUCUUGUAGGAGAGCUCAGACUGAUAACGAAGCUAUGAUUGUGUGAGCACCACUGAAGCCCAGAUCACAUAUUUUUGGCUCCCCAAUUCUUCUUCCCAUCUUUCCAAAUCUAAAGACCUUCCUAGUCCACAGAGUACACUAAGUUUUUCACUUAUAUUAUUU